rnacentral:lncRNA from 1 species
UUCACUUCUGGGAUUGUCUGGCUAAAUUCACAAGAGCAAGAAGAGUUCACAGAAUCAUGCAGGUGAACCUCAGAAACUUCAAGCAUGCCAUUCAGAUAAGCUUGGUCACGUGUGGAUCCUUAUCUGAAGAUUAUCAAGUCAUUGUCUGGAUGUAACUAUUUGCUAAAAUACGGAAUAAAACUGCAAAAGAGAUAGAGAAAAGACAGAACAAAAUGUAAGCUCCCACUG